rnacentral:rRNA from 1 species
GACGGAAGGUGCAAGCGUUGCUCGGAAUCACUGGGCGUAAAGGGUGCGUAGGCGGCCGCGCAAGUCUGGCGUGAAAGCCCCGGGCUCAGCCCGGGAAGGGCGCUCGAAACGGCGCGGCUCGAGUGCCGGAGGGGAGAGUGGAAUUCCUGGUGUAUCGGUGAAAUGCGUAGAUAUCAGGAGGAACACCGGUGGCGAAGGCGCCACUCUGGGCCGGUACUGACGCUGAGGAGCGAAAGCGUGGGUAGCAAACAGG